rnacentral:rRNA from 1 species
AUUGAACGCUGGCGGAAUGCUUUACACAUGCAAGUCGAACGGUAGAGGGGGCAACCCCUCGAGAGUGGCGAACGGGUGAGUAAUAUAUCGGAACGUGCCCAGUCGUGGGGGAUAACGUAGCGAAAGUUACGCUAAUACCGCAUACGAUCUAAGGAUGAAAGCGGGGGAUCGCAAGACCUCGCGCGAUUGGAGCGGCCGACAUCAGAUUAGGUAGUUGGUGGGGUAAAGGCCCACCAAGCCAACGAUCUGUAGCUGGUCUGAGAGGACGACCAGCCACACUGGAACUGAGACACGGUCCAGACUCCUACGGGAGGCAGCAGUGGGGAAUUUUGGACAAUGGGCGAAAGCCUGAUCAAGCCAUUCCGCGUGCAGGAUGAAGGCCCUCGGGUUGUAAACUGCUUUUGUACAGAACGAAAAGGUUUCUACUAAUACUAGGAGCUCAUGACGGUACUGUGAGAAUGAGCACCGGCUAUCUACGUGCCAGCCGCCGCUGUAA